GUGAAUCAUCGAAUCUUUGAACGCACAUUGCGCCCGCCAGUAUUCUGGCGGGCAUGCCUGUCCGAGCGUCAUUUCAACCCUCGAACCCCUCCGGGGGGUCGGCGUUGGGGAUCGGCCCGUCUUAGCGCGGGCCGGCCCCGAAAUACAGUGGCGGUCUCGCCGCAGCCUCUCCUGCGCAGUAGUUUGCACACUCGCAUCGGGAGCGCGGCGCGUCCAAUGCCGUAAAACACCCCAAAUUUCUGAAAUGUUGACCUCGGAUCAGGUAGGAAUACCCGCUGAACUUAAGCAUAUCAAUAAGCGGAGGA
rnacentral:misc_RNA from 1 species